rnacentral:rRNA from 1 species
CCAACCCAUGUGAACGUUACCAAACUGUUGCCUCGGCGGGAUCUCUGCCCCGGGCGCGUCGCAGCCCCGGACCAAGGCGCCCGCCGGAGGACCAACCAAAACUCUUAUUGUAUACCCCCUCGCGGGUUUUUUACUAUCUGAGCCAUCUCGGCGCCCCUCGUGGGCGUUUCGAAAAUGAAUCAAAACUUUCAACAACGGAUCUCUUGGUUCUGGCAUCGAUGAAGAACGCAGCGAAAUGCGAUAAGUAAUGUGAAUUGCAGAAUUCAGUGAAUCAUCGAAUCUUUGAACGCACAUUGCGCCCGCCAGUAUUCUGGCGGGCAUGCCUGUCCGAGCGUCAUUUCAACCCUCGAACCCCUCCGGGGGGUCGGCGUUGGGGAUCGGCCCUUUACGGGGCCGGCCCCGAAAUACAGUGGCGGUCUCGCCGCAGCCUCUCCUGCGCAGUAGUUUGCACACUCGCAUCGGGAGCGCGGCGCGUCCACAGCCGUUAAACACCCCAAACUUCUGAAAUGUUGACCUCGGAUCAGGUAGGAAUACCCGCUGAACUUAAGCAUAUCAAUAAGCGGAGGGAAAAGAA